GGAAGCAAGAGUCAAUGUCCUCGUAUUUACCUUCGAGAUCUUCUGCGAAUCACAGAAGAACAACAGCUCAAGCAACAGAUGACCACCCCAUCGCUCCAGGACCUCGAAUGCAGGGUCCAGGCUUAGCUCCGGCUCCUAAUGUUCGACCUCUGUUUCAGUUCCUGUCAUUUGGACUCAUCCUGUUCUUGGGCUCACUUCAGUUUCUCUUGCCAGUCACCCAUUUUCGGAACCCCUCCGAUCCUCUCAGAAACUGGAUCCCACUGAAAACUUCUUCAUCUCCGCUGACUGAGUUGGGGACUUCAAGGAAUGGUGAUAGUGGAGGUGAUGAUGGGAUGGUGCAUGUUGUGUCUUGGAUGGAUUGUCUAGACCUUCGACUUCUUGCAGUUCUUGCCAACUCAACUUUGUCAAGCUCCAGAUAUCCUGAUUUGGUUUACUUUCAUUUCUUUGUCCCUGGAGGAAACGAAGACAGAGUAUCAUUUUAUAAAUUGAAGGUCUUAUUUCCACAUUCAAAUCUUGAAAUUCAUGGGCAGGAUGAAGUUAAAGAAAUAAUUACGAGUGCUUUUCAAGGGAUCCAAUAUACUGAGACCAGUUUUGAGGAAAUAGUGCCAUUUGUCAUACCAAUUGUCCACCAGUUUUUGAGCAAAUUCAUAUAUGUCUCAGCAAAUGUAAUCAUGAAGGGAAAAGUUGAAGAACUAAUUGGAGUUGACUUGACCAAUUAUGCUGUUGCAGCUGCCGAAGACUGCACUAAAAAGUUAAGCACUUACGUGAAUUUUGACGUGUUGGAUGCUAUUCAGAGAUCAGCUUCAAAGCCUUGGGUAUUUGAAAGACCUUAUGUGAAGGAUGCCUGUAUGCCAGGUUUAAGAGUUCUAUUGAUUGAUGCGAAUAAAUUAGAAAAGGAUUUUAUGGAAGCUGUCAUAUGGUGGAGCAAAGUUCUGAAUUUGCGGGAAAGGUUUUGCAUUUUGCAUGUCACGUUUCUCUAUUGCUGAUUUAGUGUUUUCAUUGUUUGCUGUUUGUAGCUGCCAAGUUGCCAGAUACUUUCUCUAUUAAUGAUAAUUCUCACUCUCAGUUCUGUUGGUAGGAUGUGCUCCAUUAAUUAGUCAGAGACUAGGGAAUCUUUCUUCAAACAAUUAAUGAUGUAGGAUUAUAAUAAAGGAAUCUAGGUAGCACUGGUAGAAUAUAAAAAUUUUGAACCUAGGUUUGUGGAUCGAUGUCUUGAUCCACCAUUAAGAAUUUUAUUAUGGCUUUGUAAUUAGUUGAUGUCUAAAAAUUGGAGAGCUUGAGAAGGAAAAAUAAUUUUAAUUUUGCAGGACACUUCCUACAAACAUAUCUUGUUUUUAUCUAUUGUAAUUUUACAAAUUCUAACUUUUGAGGGUACAUGCAUAUAUUUUCAGUAUGGAGAGUAGACUACAUUUCAAAGAUUAUAAAAUUCUCUGGGCAUUGAUGUCACUUCUGAUUGUUAAAGCAGCAUGGUCUUAUAAGAUUCUUUGGUUUAGGCAGAGAUGAUAUUGCAACAGCUUAAUGACUAAAAACAAUAAAAACCUUAGCAUGAAGUUGUGAUUUUGACAAAUUCUUUUAAUUUUUUCAAUUUUAGAUUGAUUUAAGAAAUUAGUUUUAGUUUUAGCCUUUUGAUCAAAAUUAAAGUUAACAAUAUUUUAUUGUUCGGUUGGAAUAAAAAAAAAAAAUUAUUUGUUUUCACUUUUACCAUCCUCCCCCUUCUCUCUCUCUCUCUCUC
rnacentral:misc_RNA from 1 species